AGGACAAAGCACAAAGUCCAAAUUUUCAAUUCAUGAACAACGUUAAAAGAGAGAACACUUAUUUAACAUUUCAAGUUAAUCCCACCUCGAAGUCCAAAUCAUUUAUAAACUUUUCACAUGUUUCCUUUGGUGUAAAGUGAACCAACACAAUUGAGUGGCAUUAGCUAAAUUCCAAUCACACCAACCUUUUGAUCUCAAGAGUUGUCAAACUCCCUUGCAAGAAACAAACCAAGGUUUUAAUUUUUUAUUUUAAUAUACUAUUUUUUUCUUUAUGUGGGUUGUGCAAUGCUUAGCUCCAUUAAGCUUUCUAAUUAACCCAUAUAGCAAGUGUUAGGCUAGCGACUCUCAAACGAAAAAGGCUUUAAGGCACUAGGUAUAGAGACACCUCUAAGAGCUUACUAACUCGAGUUAAAAAGGUUACGAAACUAAAUUAGCCACACAAAAUUAUUCACACCCAGAACUUCACCGUUUGACGCAAACACUCACUGCUAAUUAGACAAGAUGCCCGGUUACUAAGUAGAAGCUUGAAUAGAACACUAAUAAUAAUAAUAAUUUAAAAAAAACAAAGAUGAGUCAAAAGCAAGGUUAUCCAAGUUUACCUAAGACACAAAAUUAAGCACAAUUGGUUUUUAACUUUAUACCCCACAAAAAGUGUUAGUGUGCUUGUGUAAAUUGUUAGAGUAUAACUCAUGAAUUAUCCACUAACUAGAAAUAAAUGAAAGGACACAAAAGUGGGAUAAUUAUCAUAUAGUUCAUAUGUUUUCAAUCUUAAAAUCAUUCAUGAAUAUCAAAUAAAUCUAAGUGCAAUGUAAUCUUGUCACAAACAGACUAUGAAAAACAAACAACACAGUGCACUCAUAAACAAUUUUUUUUUCUUCACACUUUUCAGUUUUUUUUUCUUCAAAAUAAAUGACGAAAAUAAACAAAAACAAAACAAAAACAAACAACAAACAACAAAAACAAAAACGAAAGAAAAACUAACAUAUUGCAACAAGAAAAUAAUACAAUAAACACAUCGUCUCCACCCCCAACCAAAUACUAACAUUGUCCUCAAUGUUUAAACAUAUAAGCAUAAUAAAAAGAAGAGGGUAGCGUUACCUGAAAAUUG
rnacentral:lncRNA from 1 species